GGAUUGAAAUGGGCGCAGCCUGAUCCAGCAAUGCCGCGUGCAGGAAGAAGGCCUUCGGGUUGUAAACUGCUUUUGUCAGGGAAGAAAUCUUCUGGGUUAAUACCUCGGGAGGAUGACGGUACCUGAAGAAUAAGCACCGGCUAACUACGUGCCAGCAGCCGCGGUAAUACGUAGGGUGCGAGCGUUAAUCGGAAUUACUGGGCGUAAAGCGUGCGCAGGCGGCUUUGCAAGACAGAUGUGAAAUCCCCGGGCUCAACCUGGGAACUGCAUUUGUGACUGCAAGGCUAGAGUGCGGCAGAGGGGGAUGGAAUUCCGCGUGUAGCAGUGAAAUGCGUAGAUAUGCGGAGGAACACCGAUGGCGAAGGCAAUCCCCUGGGCCUGCACUGACGCUCAUGCACGAAAGCGUGGGGAGCAAACAGGAUUAGAUACCCUGGUAGUCCACGCCCUAAACGAUGUCAACUGGUUGUUGGACGGCUUGCUGUUCAGUAACGAAGCUAACGCGUGAAGUUGACCGCCUGGGGGGUACGGCCGCAAGGUUGAAACUCAAAAAAAUUGACGGA
rnacentral:rRNA from 1 species